GACGAACGCUGGCGGCGUGCUUAACACAUGCAAGUCGAGCGGUAAGGCCCUUCGGGGUACACGAGCGGCGAACGGGUGAGUAACACGUGGGUGACCUGCCCUCCACUCUGGGAUAAGCCUGGGAAACCGGGUCUAAUACCGGAUAUGACCUCCCCAUGCAUGUGCGGUGGUGGAAAGUUCUGGCGGUGGGGGAUGGGCCCGCGGUCUAUCAGCUUGUUGGUGGGGUGAUGGCCUACCAAGGCGACGACGGAUAGCCGGCCUGAGAGGGUGAUCGGCCACACUGGGACUGAGACACGGCCCAGACUCCUACGGGAGGCAGCAGUGGGGAAUCUUGCGCAAUGGGCGGAAGCCUGACGCAGCAACGCCGCGUGGGGGAUGACGGCCUUCGGGUUGUAAACCUCUUUCGCGAUCGACGAAGCUCGUACCUCUGGUACGGGUGACGGUAGGUCGAGAAGAAGCACCGGCCAACUACGU
rnacentral:rRNA from 1 species